rnacentral:lncRNA from 12 species
AUGUUAGGCUCAGAAGGAAGGAGGCAAUGUCUUCCGUGGAGAGGGACAGGAGAGCUCAGGAACGCAAAUGCUACAGUAAUAUUUUGCCCACAGAUUCAGAGAGAAAAAUCCAACCCAGGCAAGACGCUCCCUUGGUGCGUGCAUUGUGAAUUUCUUGGGGAACUGCAGGGAGGGGAAGGGUUGGGGGUUCCGUUUGGUUGGUUUCCACUGAAUAGCAUUGAGCCAAAAGAAAGCCCAUAACUAAUUGGCUCUGUUGGAGGGGGAAAUGCUAUCAGGACUUUUUUCUUUCUUUCUUUCUCUUUUUCUUUCUUUCUUUCUUUUUAUCUUUUUAAGUGCAGUGGGCACGGAGACGUGACAUUGCAUCAUUGCACGUUGCACGGUGGCAGUGGCCUUGCUGUUCUCUCCUGGACAGAGGAGCAACCAGAAUGGCAACUGAGAUUAGCAUCGAGUGACCAACAUUGUAUUUGCAUCUGAAAGUGCCCGCCACAAACAGCUGAGGCAGCAUUUGAGCUGGAGGAGAGGUGAAUAAAUCCUCUGGAACUGUCCUGUUGGCCUUCGUA